rnacentral:tRNA from 1 species
GGGGUUGUGGUGUAACCAGGCAGCACAAUUGGCUCCAGACCAAUUAAUCGGGGUUCAAAAAGGUCUGGAAAUCCAAAGAAAGAAGCGAAACUUUUUUCUUUGGGGUGAACCACAGACCUUUCUUUUUCAAAGAAAGGGAUAGGGAAAAUCCCUGCAACCCCA